rnacentral:rRNA from 1 species
AGUCGAGGGGCAGCAUGGUCUUAGCUUGCUAAGGCUGAUGGCGACCGGCGCACGGGUGAGUAACACGUAUCCAACCUGCCGUCUACUCUUGGCCAGCCUUCUGAAAGGAAGAUUAAUCCAGGAUGGCAUCAUGAGUUCACAUGUCCGCAUGAUUAAAGGUAUUUUCCGGUAGACGAUGGGGAUGCGUUCCAUUAGAUAGUAGGCGGGGUAACGACCCACCUAGUCAACGAUGGAUAGGGGUUCUGAGAGGAAGGUCCCCCACAUUGGAACUGAGACACGGUCCAAACUCCUACGGGAGGCAGCAGUGAGGAAUAUUGGUCAAUGGGCGAUGGCCUGAACCAGCCAAGUAGCGUGAAGGAUGACUGCCCUAUGGGUUGUAAACUUCUUUUAUAAAGGAAUAAAGUCGGGUAUGCAUACCCGUUUGCAUGUACUUUAUGAAUAAGGAUCGGCUAACUCCGUGCCAGCAGCCGCGGUAAUACGGAGGAUCCGAGCGUUAUCCGGAUUUAUUGGGUUUAAAGGGAGCGUAGAUGGAUGUUUAAGUCAGUUGUGAAAGUUUGCGGCUCAACCGUAAAAUUGCAGUUGAUACUGGAUGUCUUGAGUGCAGUUGAGGCAGGCGGAAUUCGUGGUGUAGCGGUGAAAUGCUUAGAUAUCACGAAGAACUCCGAUUGCGAAGGCAGCCUGCUA